rnacentral:rRNA from 1 species
AACGAACGCUGGCGGCAUGCCUAACACAUGCAGGUCGAACGAGACCUUCGGGUCUAGUGGCGCACGGGUGCGUAACGCGUGGGAACCUGCCCUUAGGUUCGGAAUAACUCCCCGAAAGGGGUGCUAAUACCGGAUAAUGUCUUCGGACCAAAGAUUUAUCGCCUUUGGAUGGGCCCGCGUUGGAUUAGCUAGUUGGUAGGGUAAAAGCCUACCAAGGCGACGAUCCAUAGCUGGUCUGAGAGGAUGAUCAGCCACACUGGGACUGAGACACGGCCCAGACUCCUACGGGAGGCAGCAGUGGUGAAUAUUGGACAAUGGGCGAAAGCCUGAUCCAGCAAUGCCGCGUGAGUGAUGAAGGCCUUAGGGUUGUAAAGCUCUUUUACCCGGGAUGAUAAUGACAGUACCGGGAGAAUAAGCUCCGGCUAACUCCGUG